UUACGGGAGGCAGCAGUAGGGAAUAUUGGGCAAUGGGCACAAGCCUGACCCAGCCAUGCCGCGUGCAGGAAGAAGGCCCUCUGGGUUGUAAACUGCUUUUGACGGGGAAGAAACGACCCUUGCGAGGGGCAUUGACGGUACCCGCAGAAUAAGCACCGGCUAACUCCGUGCCAGCAGCCGCGGUAAUACGGAGGGUGCAAGCGUUGUCCGGAUUUAUUGGGUUUAAAGGGUGCGUAGGCGGUCUGGUAAGUCGGCGAUGAAAGCCCGGGGCUCAACCCCGGAACUGUCGUCGAUACUGUCGGACUUGAGUGAGGUGGAGGCUGGCGGAAUGGGCGGUGUAGCGGUGAAAUGCAUAGAUACCGUCCAGAACCCCGAUUGCGAAGGCAGCUGGCUGUACCUUUACUGACGCUGAGGCACGAAAGCGUGGGGAGCGAACAGGAUUAGAUACCCUGGUA
rnacentral:rRNA from 1 species